rnacentral:lncRNA from 1 species
GGCUCGAGCAUAUUUUCAACAAUUAUAUGCCUGGAACUUUAAAGAGUUUUAACUUGCACUGAUAUUCUGUACUACGUACAUGUACCUUGUACGCUUAACUUGACCGAAAGAUUUAUUAAUAUCAUAUAUAUCUCCCUAGCAUGGUUUGUGAAACAGCUGUACAAUGUGCAAUCUAUUAGGAAUGGGUAGGACCUUUAUCGGGACUCCGGGAUCUCGGUGUUUUUAAGCUCGGGAUUUCAGGAUUUCCAGGAAUUGUUUUUUUUUUUGAAUUUCGGAUGCAGAAUUUAAAUUUAUUUAAAUUCGGGAGCUCAGGAUUUCGUGUUUUAAAGCCCGGGAUUUCAGGAUCAGGACCCUCCUACCCCAUCUAUAUGCAUGUGUUAUUCCGACAUUCUACCAAUUUUAUCAAAAUUUGAACUGAAAUUAUCAGAGAUGAUAUCUGUGAAAUAAAACAAAAAAAUAUUUGACUAGAAUAUAAAGCCACUGCCCAGCAGUGCAUUUCCCACCAUCAUCAUCAUGCAACCAGUUAAAAGAGCUAAAACUAAGCAUUUAUCUUACUUUACUUACAACCCUAGAGACUGAGUGUGUCCCGGUGUUAUCAAUAAAAAUCUAAAAGACUUGAAACUCAAAUGUCACGUAUUUUACAUCGCAUUUAUAAAUGGUCUGCAAGGAAAAACUUGGCGAUUUUACUGCCAAUUAUUCUCCAAUUUACAGGACUUCGGUUCAUGUCAGAUAUAAAUAAAAUGUCAAAGCUGGUAGAAGGCAGCAUUAACAUAAUCAUCCUGAUAUACGAAUCACUAAA